rnacentral:rRNA from 1 species
CUGAUACGCCCAAGAGUUCAUAUCGACGGCGGUGUUUGGCACCUCGAUGUCGGCUCAUCACAUCCUGGGGCUGAAGUAGGUCCCAAGGGUAUGGCUGUUCGCCAUUUAAAGUGGUACGCGAGCUGGGUUUAGAACGUCGUGAGACAGUUCGGUCCCUAUCUGCCGUGGGCGCUGGAGAACUGAGGGGGGCUGCUCCUAGUACGAGAGGACCGGAGUGGACGCAUCACUGGUGUUCGGGUUGUCAUGCCAAUGGCACUGCCCGGUAGCUAAAUGCGGAAGAGAUAAGUGCUGAAAGCAUCUAAGCACGAAACUUGCCCCGAGAUGAGUUCUCCCUGAGACUUUAGGUCUCCUGAAGGAACGUUGAAGACGACGACGUUGAUAGGCCGGGUGUGUAAGCGCAGCGAUGCGUUGAGCUAACCGGUACUAAUGAACCGUGAGGCUUAACCUUAC